UGUGCGGGCACGGGUCGGCCUAUGGAACCACUGUUGUGUGCUCCGUGCAUUACGUCAAAGGCAAAUACGCCCUCUAAUCGGUGUGGACUUGCACGCAUCGGUCGGGCUUGAUAAUCUCAAGCCUGUAGCCUUCGCCUAGCUUUCACCAAAAAGGUGAGAGCGUCAGGUGAAGGCGUCAGCAUUAGUUGGUUGCGUUU
rnacentral:misc_RNA from 2 species